UACGUAGGGUGCGAGCGUUGUCCGGAAUUAUUGGGCGUAAAGGGCUCGUAGGCGGUUUGUCGCGUCGGGAGUGAAAAUCCAGGGCUUAACUCUGGACUGGCUUCCGAUACGGGCAGACUAGAGGUAUGCAGGGGAGAACGGAAUUCCUGGUGUAGCGGUGAAAUGCGUAGAUAUCUGGAGGAACACCGGUGGCGAAGGCGGCAUCCUGGACCGACACUGACGCUGAGGCGCGAAAGCUAGGGUAGCAAACGGG
rnacentral:rRNA from 1 species